rnacentral:lncRNA from 1 species
CCUUGACUCCCCAGAUGUUCAUAGGCUACAACUCCCAGAUAUCCUGGCCAGCACAGCUAGUGGUGAAGGCUUUUGGGAGUUGUAGUCCAAGAACAUCUGGGGACCCAAGGUGGGGAACCACUGCCCCCCCCGAAAAGUGAUGUGGUUCUCUGCUUCUUGGAGGGAAAGGUGGGAUGAAAACGUUAUGAAGACAAUAGCUUAAGAAAGACAGUGACUCUACCCCUGUAUCUACAGCAGGACUUCUCUUUGGAUCCAUAGCAUGCUUACUUUGCUGCUACCGCGGCUUCCCAAAAUAUUGUCACUGCAUGCACACUGGAAAGCAGACCGACAGCACGAAGACUUUCGCAAGGCGGUGGAGUGGAUCCUUCCAAAGAGAAGACAACAUCUCAAAUGUAGAACCACAGAUUCUUUGCAGCUUUCCCGUUGUGAAGAAUAUGGCCAUGGACUCCUUUUGUGGACACAUCUGUGGAACCUCCAGAACUUGUUGCACACAGCAGAGGAAGUCCACAGAUCUCCAGAAGCCUUUGGUGGCCGUGUUGUCCAUGGAUACCACAGGGAAACCUGUCGUGAGUCUGCAUACGGAAGGACGGGAGGCGGGAUGCCCCAACAUAGAUCAUUCGUGCCGUCAGACUCACAAUGAGAGGAUUGCCAGAGUCAACGAAGCCCCUCAAUGUCGUAGAAACGGUGGUAGCCCCGCAGAACAACAUUCCUUCAAUUUAGAGGAUGCAUUAUGGGAGCCACCCAUCCAGAUGGCCACUUUGGACCAUAGGGAGAAGACAGAAUGUGUUUUGGGGAAGUGCGUCGACACCCAGUUGGGCGAAUGGAUCUCGCACUCUGAGGUUCAACUUGACGAAGCCCAAUCCCCUCGAUCUUUGGUCCGUCCUAACGGAACUGCCGUGAAGCCAGAGAGAGAUCAAAACUGGACCGGCGAAGCCGCUUCCAAGAGAAACAAGCGCUGCAGAAACGGAUUUCAUCUCCGUACGUCCCGCCGACGGUCAGCUAGGAAGAGGAACAUGUCAUAUCAGAGACACAGUCGUUGCUCCCAGACCAGCCUCAUGUCCCCUAGACUCAUCAAAGCUUCUGAUGUGAGACAGCGGCAAGAAGGUGUUGUGGACAGAAGACAUCCUAACCAGAGAACCAGAAACGGACAGUCUUCUUCCAACACUGAUAUUUGCCCCAACGCCUGUCCAAUAUCAGCGAGUAAAGUCAACAGAAAGCAAAGAAGGAAACCAUCGCAGGUCCACAGACCCUUUUCAACCUUGACCUCUUCUUCUUCCAGUGUGUCAAGCCAGACAGAAGAGAAUAACCUCUCCUAUCAAGAGGAACCCUAUAUUGAAAAGCGGGCCAUCGCUCCCCUUUAUGGGAGAAAGGAGGAGUCUAGUCCACCCAUUGAUGAUACCUGUCCAGUAGGGAAAAUGCACCUCAAAUCUUGGAAAGCCACGAAGGCUCCAGAAAGAUCAGAUGUGGUCCUGGAAAGGGACUCAUCCACCACGGAGGACGCAGGGACAUGUGCAAGGGGUGGCUGUUCAAAAUCCGACCCACGUUCGGUACCUCAAAAGGUGUCCAGUCAACGGAUCGCAACCUCUAAGAAAACCAGAAGAUUCCUUGAUGGCGUCGCUCGGCAGUCUUUCAGGGGUACACCCCACCUUACAGGUAACAUCUCACCUGUGUUAAAUUUUUUUCAAAAGGUGCUGGUGGGUCACCACUUGGGGAUGAAUUGGGGGCUGAGAAAGGAUAUAGGGCAGCU